AUAACCUCUAGCCUCAAAGGUGUUGAACACCAUACACGUUUGUUUAACGACACCCCUAGAGCACACUGAUUUAUUAAUCAUUGGAUUUUGGAUGUCAAAGAUUUGGAUGUAAUGGUUUGGAAUUGGUGACUGUUUUCAUGUCUUGAAUGCCUAGAUAUGUGCUAAAAGCUGAUCCGUGCCAGAAGCAGGCUUGUAACAUAACGAAAUGUUUACAAGAACAUAACUACCAGGAAGCUGCCUGUGAGUCUGUUGUUGCUAUGAUGAGAAAAUGCUGUGAUAGGGUUGGGGCGGAAGAAUCCGUUUGCUGCUCUGGAUUUAGAAAAACUGAUAAAAAGUCCGCAUCCUGAUGAGCACUGUGUUCUGAUGAAUGAUUUAACUUUCGGGAGAGGCAGAAACUGACGAGGAUGAACAAAUGGAAGUUGAUUUUCAUCAAAUGUUGACUUCUACUCACAUUCUGAAACCAUGGGAGUGAUCGUAGUUUGUUACCUUUUACAUAUUUAUUACUAAUAAAUUAUUUUACUUCCGAAA